CCGACAGGAUGGGGACAACAUUCCGAAAGGAAUGCUAAUACCGAAUGAAGCGGAGGAGAGGCAUCUCUCUUCCGUGAAAGAUGGCCUCUGAACAUGCUAUCACCUGUCGAUGGGUCUGCGUCUGAUUAGCUGGUUGGUGAGGUAACGGCUCACCAAGGCGACGAUCAGUAGCCGGUCUGAGAGGAUGAACGGCCACAUUGGGACUGAGACACGGCCCAGACUCCUACGGGAGGCAGCAGUGGGGAAUCUUCCGCAAUGGGCGCAAGCCUGACGGAGCAACGCCGCGUGAGUGAAGAAGGUCUUCGGAUCGUAAAGCUCUGUUGACGGGGACGAACGUGCGAGAGGUGAAUAAACUCUUGCAAUGAGCG
rnacentral:rRNA from 1 species